GCGCCUAUAGUGUAACGGUUAGCAUUUCGGGUUUCCAACCCGGAGAUCCGGUUUCAAUCACCGGUGGGCGCACCA
rnacentral:tRNA from 1 species